GUGCCAGCAGCCGCGGUAAUACGGAGGAUCCAAGCGUUAUCCGGAUUCAUUGGGUUUAAAGGGUCCGUAGGCGGAUUUUUAAGUCAGUGGUGAAAGCCGACAGCUCAACUGUCGAACUGCCAUUGAUACUGGAAAUCUUGAGUACAAAUGAAGUAGGCGGAAUGAGUCAUGUAGCGGUGAAAUGCAUAGAUAUGACUCAGAACACCGAUUGCGAAGGCAGCUUACUAACAUGUAACUGACGCUGAGGGACGAAAGCGUGGGGAGCGAACAGGAUUAGAUACCCUGGUAGUCCACGCCGUAAACGAUCAUCACUCGCUGUUGGCGAUAUACUGUCAGCGGCCAAGCGAAAGUAUUAAGUGAUGCACCUGGGGAGUACGCCGGCAACGGUGAAACUUAAAUGAAUUGACGGGG
rnacentral:rRNA from 1 species